AACGCUAGCUACAGGCUUAACACAUGCAAGUCGAGGGGCAGCAUGAUUGAAGCUUGCUUCAAUUGAUGGCGACCGGCGCACGGGUGAGUAACACGUAUCCAACCUUCCGUACACUCAGGGAUAGCCUUUCGAAAGAAAGAUUAAUACCUGAUGGUAUCUUAAGCACACAUGUAAUUAAGAUUAAAGAUUUAUCGGUGUACGAUGGGGAUGCGUUCCAUUAGGUAGUAGGCGGGGUAACGGCCCACCUAGCCUACGAUGGAUAGGGGUUCUGAGAGGAAGGUCCCCCACAUUGGAACUGAGACACGGUCCAAACUCCUACGGGAGGCAGCAGUGAGGAAUAUUGGUCAAUGGACGAGAGUCUGAACCAGCCAAGUAGCGUGAAGGAUGAAGGUCCUACGGAUUGUAAACUUCUUUUAUAAGGGAAUAAAACCUCCCACGUGUGGGAGCUUGUAUGUACCUUAUGAAUAAGCAUCGGCUAACUCCGUGCCAGCAGCCGCGGUAAUACGGAGGACGCGAGCGUUAUCCGGAUUUAUUGGGUUUAAAGGGAGCGCAGACGGGUCGUUAAGUCAGCUGUGAAAGUUUGGGGCUCAACCUUAAAAUUGCAGUUGAUACUGGCGUCCUUGAGUGCGGUUGAGGUGUGCGGAAUUCGUGGUGUAGCGGUGAAAUGCUUAGAUAUCACGAAGAACUCCGAUUG
rnacentral:rRNA from 1 species